GCCUGUGUAGCUCAGUUGGUUAGAGCAUGUCAUUAGUAAUGACAAGGUCGGUAGUUCAGUUCGAAUCCAUGUGGCGGCG
rnacentral:tRNA from 1 species